rnacentral:lncRNA from 1 species
GACGGCGAGGCCGGGCGGGAGCAGCUCUACCAGCAGAGCCGGGCCUACGUGGCCACGAACCAGCGGCUGCAGCGGGCCGGUGACGGGCUGAAGGCGCAGUGCGGAUGUCGGCCACGUGAAACAGGUGGCGCUGCGGGGGGCUGCGGCCGCCUCCUUGGGCUGACCUGGCCUCCGGCUCUCUGGGGACAGCCCCCACGGCUCGCCGGAACCUGCCGCCCUCCCCAGGACACCUGAGUGGCCGCCCCUCGGACAUGGGCCCUGAGCCCCAGAAGCGGAUGCCAGGCUUUCUGUUCUGUGGCCUGGGCACACCCUGGUCCCCGGAGAAGCCAAGGGACAGAGCCCGCGGGGGCUGUGGGUGCAGCAGGGACGGCUCAGUGUGUGGCGGGUGCACCUGCCUUGGCGGCACAGACCCUCCCCAGGGUCGGGUCCGGGACCCUGCAGAUGCGCUCCCCCCAGGGCUUCCCUCCUGGGACCCUGAUCACCGUCGAGCCCAGACUGCACUUCUCGGGGGUCCCAGCACCGAGGGCCGGUCUGUCCAUUCUCCUCCCGUCCUCUGUGACCCUGCUUCCCCGUCAUCCCAUUAAACUGAGCUGGCAGGACCACCCCGCUGGCUCUGCCCGUCUCUGUGUGAACUGGGGCCCCCCCGAGGUUCCAGAAGAGGAUGGGGC